rnacentral:rRNA from 1 species
AUUGAACGCUGCGGCAGGCUUAACACAUGCAAGUCGAGCGGGGGAAGGUAGCUUGCUACCGGACCUAGCGGCGGACGGGUGAGUAAUGCUUAGGAAUCUGCCUAUUAGUGGGGGACAACAUCUCGAAAGGGAUGCUAAUACCGCAUACGUCCUACGGGAGAAAGCAGGGGAUCUUCGGACCUUGCGCUAAUAGAUGAGCCUAAGUAGGAUUAGCUAGUUGGUGGGGUAAAGGCCUACCAAGGCGACGAUCUGUAGCGGGUCUGAGAGGAUGAUCCGCCACACUGGGACUGAGACACGGCCCAGACUCCUACGGGAGGCAGCAGUGGGGAAUAUUGGACAAUGGGGGGAACCCUGAUCCAGCCAUGCCGCGUGUGUGAAGAAGGCCUUAUGGUUGUAAAGCACUUUAAGCGAGGAGGAGGCUACUUUAGUUAAUACCUAGAGAUAGUGGACGUUACUCGCAGAAUAAGCACCGGCUAACUCUGUGCCAGCCGCCGCAGUAA